AUCUUGGUCAUUUAGAGGAAGUAAUGCAUAUCAAUAAGCGGAGGAUCUUGGUCAUUUAGAGGAAGUAAAAGUCGUAACAAGGUCUCCGUAGGUGAACCUGCGGAGGGAUCAUUA
rnacentral:rRNA from 1 species